rnacentral:rRNA from 1 species
GACGAACGCUGGCGGCGUGCUUAACACAUGCAAGUCGAGCGGUAAGGCCCUUUCGGGGGUACACGAGCGGCGAACGGGUGAGUAACACGUGGGUGACCUGCCCUUAGCUCUGGGAUAAGCCUGGGAAACUGGGUCUAAUACCGGAUAUGACUCCAUGACGCAUGUUGUGGGGUGGAAAGCCUUGUGCGGCUAGGGAUGGGCCCGCGGCCUAUCAGCUUGUUGGUGGGGUGAUGGCCACCAAGGCGACGACGGGUAGCCGGCCUGAGAGGGCGACCGGCCACACUGGGACUGAGACACGGCCCAGACUCCUACGGGAGGCAGCAGUGGGGAAUUUUCCGCAAUGGGCGCAAGCCUGACGGAGCGACGCCGCGUGUGGGAAGAAGGCC